rnacentral:rRNA from 1 species
GGGAAAAGCUCAAAUUUAAAAUCUGGCAGUUUUUAAUUGUCCGAGUUGUAAUUUGCAGAGGAUGCUUUUGGCGCGGUGCCUUCCGAGUUCCCUGGAACGGGACGCCAUAGAGGGUGAGAGCCCCGUACGGUUGGACACCAAGCCUUUGUAAAGCUCCUUCGAC